rnacentral:rRNA from 1 species
CCGGGAGGAAGGUGGGGAUGACGUCAAGUCAUCAUGGCCCUUAUGUCCAGGGCGACACACGUGCUACAAUGGCCGGCACAGCGGGAAGCGGAGGGGCGACCCUGAGCGGAUCCCUUGAAAGCCGGUCCCAGUUCGGAUUGCAGUCUGCAACUCGACUGCAUGAAGUUGGAAUCGCUAGUAAUCGCGGAUCAGCCAAGCCGCGGUGAAUACGUUCCCGGGCCUU